GCCCUGAUGCGAUGGCUCAGUCGGUAGAGCGCGAGAUUCUUAAAUCUCCGGGUCCUGGGUUCGAGUUCCGUGCAGGGCA